GAUGAACGCUGGCGGCGUGCCUAAUACAUGCAAGUCGAGCGAACGGACGAGAAGCUUGCUUCUCUGAUGUUAGCGGCGGACGGGUGAGUAACACGUGGAUAACCUACCUAUAAGACUGGGAUAACUUCGGGAAGCCGUAGCUAAUACCGGAUAAUAUUUUGAACCGCAUGGUUCAAAAGUGAAAGACGGUCUUGCUGUCACUUAUAGAUGGAUCCGCGCUGCAUUAGCUAGUUGGUAAGGUAACGGCUUACCAAGGCAACGAUGCAUAGCCGACCUGAGAGGGUGAUCGGCCACACUGGAACUGAGACACGGUCCAGACUCCUACGGGAGGCAGCAGUAGGGAAUCUUCCGCAAUGGGCGAAAGCCUGACGGAGCAACGCCGCGUGAGUGAUGAAAGUCUUCGGAUCGUAAAACUCUGUUAUUAGGGAAGAACAUAUGUGUAAGUAACUGUGCACAUCUUGACGGUACCUAAUCAGAAAGCCACGGCUAACUACGUG
rnacentral:rRNA from 1 species